AGAGGGAGAUAGAGACUAAAUAAUAAGAACAUGUUUGGGCUACAACGGAGAUAAGAGAGUCAAAAGAGCUUCCAUAAAUCGAUCUCAGUAAAAUGCAGGAGUUGUAAAAUAAUCUAAUAAUGUCUCAGAGUUUGCAUGUGAAAUGUACAUGAGGGUUUGUUAUCACUCACCAAAGAAUAGUAAAUAAUGAAGUUUUGCUUGUUGUAGAAAGUUCUGCCGAGAGGUCAUAAACUCACCCAAAAGCAUACAGAGAGUGGAAAAGAUACCUGAGUAUUAUGAUGUGAAAUGAAUGAUUGUUGGAAAUAAAUUGUGUGAAGGUUAGAGGAGUUCAGAAUAAACAGGCUGACAUGUUGGGUGAAGUGGUCAUGAGGACAAAUAAUGAACAAAUUAACAUAAAGAGACACCUGCUAGAGAUCUGUUUAAAUGCAACUAACUGAUAUAUUAAACCCAGAGCAUAAGAGCUAAAAUCACUGGAUGCAAAAUGGUGAAGUGAAAUAGAAGAGUUUUGUUGGAAAUGGUGGUUUAAGUCAGAGAUCGUGACUUAACAAUUUAAAGUAAAGUUUAGCGCCUGUUGAGUGUGGCAGAGGGAGACAGUAGAGAGAAAAAAAGGAAAAGUGUUGUACUGAGAGAGCUCACAUCAGCUGAGCCACGGCUGCAGGAGGCGGCCCGUAAACAGCGUCACAGGGUGUAGCUGGCUCAAGUUGCUCUGACUAUGGAGUGUGUGGGGUGGGCCCCGACAUCCUGCCAAGAGUGUCCUUGACCAGUGCACAGUGCACAGGCUUUCAAAUGAUCUAAGCCAAAUGCAAGUGUGUGAGAAGAAGGAGUCACCUGAGACAGGAAGCAAAAUUGUUUGCUUAAAAAAGAAAAAAAAAGAGAUGUAACUUGUUUGUAAAGUUUGGGGCCCACAUCAGUUAAGAUGCUUAAACAAGUGAUCAAAUGCUGAGUACUAUGAACAAAAAACAACAAAAAUGUAUAAAAGAAUAGUACCCAACAGAGUGAGGAACAGGAAGAAAGAAGCUCUAAAUUUGAGAAUAAAAUAUUAGAAGAAACACCUGGGAGGAAAAUGAUGAGGCCAGUAAACUGGUUCUCAGGUAAAUUAAAAUAAAUAUAACAAACUAUUAAAAUAAGAACAGGGAAGUAAGACAGAACUGAAUGACAGAGGGCAAAAGACAUAACAGUAGAGAAGCAGUGGAAAGAAUUGAGAAUAAUAAUAAUUCAGCGAGUAAACAAAAAGUUUAAAUAUAAUAGUAACUGAUUAGAGUGUAAUGUUAACAAUAAUAAAACAAUAAUUAGAAAGAUGUAAUAAAUAAUGCCAUUAAGUGUAAUAGUAAAAUAAGAGGAAGAGUAGGUAAGAAUGUAAAGUGAUUACACUCAAGCACUUUAGAAAAAAAAAGAAUAAAAAUUUAAAGAAAAGAAUAUUUGGCUGGGAAAAGAAACAACAGAAAUAAAGUUGUGGGAUGCAUGGCUGGUCAACCUGCAGCUGUGGAUCAUUAGAAAUGCUGAUCAAUAAAUAAAAAGCAUGAUUAGAUAUUGUAUGGGGAAGGGAUUAAUAAAUGGAUCAUUGGUAUCUAAAACACUCGCCUUGAUGCUGGUCAGACUGUGUGUAAUCCUUCUUCUAUAGCUAUGAGAGAGAUAACAUUUAGAAGAGCUUCAGAGGUGCGUGACAUAAGACGGCCUUAACCCUUUAAGGCUUCGAGUGUCAGGCUUGAAUCAGGAAGUAUUUAAGUUUUAAGAGUCCCAAAACAUCAGAGUGAUUUUUAACAUCCAAGAAAGUAAAUAAUAACUUGCAAAAUGCUGUCUUCAGCAAAUGCAAUAUGGUAACUCUUACAUAUGCAAAAUUACUAUUGAUUUUAAUUUGUCAAGUUUAAUAGGUAUUCUGACAAAUUUGAGGGCAGGAAUCAGGGUUUUAAAUAGUGACAGGGUUGAUCCCACAGCUGCAUCUUGUCACUUACAGGAAAGUUGAGCAGAAAAACAUAAAACUGUUGUAUAUGAUAAUAAAGCCCCUAUGAUCUUGUUUUAGUUUUACAAGGAAAAUAAA
ensembl:lncRNA